rnacentral:tRNA from 1 species
GUGUACGUAAUUUAAAAAAAAUAUCAAGUUGUGACCUUGAAAAUAGAU